UUACCCUCAGACCCCAGACUUUUGCGUUAUUACGUCAGUCAUUAGCACUGGAAAAAAGAUUAUCUUCCUUCGUAUCACAUUUCUCGGACAGUCAUGAAUAUUUCAUGUAAUUCAGCCUUGAAGAUGCAGCAUUUUAUGUCGAAGUUUCUCUCGAUUAUAGAGUGCCACAGACCAUGACUUUCUAAAAGGACUGGCCUGCUCCAUCCUGUUUCGUAACUCCCUGUGCACUGCUAGUAAUUUUGGACUUAAACGUUAUUUUGGACUCCUAAGGGUAGGACAGAGUUCAAAGUUCACGCCACAGAACAUCAUUGAAGCACGUAAAUUAUGUAAUAAAAUAUCCAUACGCCCUUCACGUAUCAGCCGAGAUAUCAUUCAUGUUCUUUGACAUGAAGUUCGCCUUGAAUGUUUUCUUUUGUUUAUCGCCAUUGUUGAACACUGCCCUCUGUGUGUGCUGCCUGAAAUGACGUAAUUAAUUUAAAACCAUUUUUGCUUAAACGUGAAUCCUCAAAUACCUAAACUCCUAACAAUACAACAGUUGAAUAACGGUUUCUUCGGCUAAGGUUACCAACCUAUUUCCACAGCAGUAAUACCAACCUUUAUCAGUGUCUUGGUGCCUGUGACGUCACCGUUGGAAGCAGCCGCCUAAAUCAUUACAGAGAUUCGUACACGCAAUUAACCCGAAGACGAGAUAGUUCGACAAAAUGGCGUCUCGUCUCACCGGAAGUCAACUCUGUGACGCAGUUCAUUUCCUCAACAGUGGCAUAAGUGUCGCCUGAUUGUUGAUAGCCGAGGAUCUUGAAGUCAUUCUUCAGAAUAUUGGCGUGUAAGAGAAGUGUUUUCGAAGUUUCUUACGAGAUCGGACGUCGACAACGAACACCAGCGUCAGACCUCGGGCAUCUGCUCCUGAGGCACUGGAAUUUAAUGACGCACUGAAGAUAUAUAGUACAUAAAGCGACGCUGGAGCAAGUGGGAGGACUUGUUGCAAAGUUCAUUUAUAAGACCGGAAUAUAAUGCUGCUAGCGUAUUCAUUAAAACGCUGGUACUAAUCACUCGUACUUAAAAUGCAAUGACAUUACACCGGGGCUUAAUGAUGUUAUAUGCCAAUAUUUUAAAAAAAAAGACCACAAGGUACUCUAAUUUACAUAAAAUAAAAGUUAAUGCACUUCCUAUGAGCUGAGGUCGUAAUACGACAGAAGUUAUGUUAUUACAAAAAAAAAA